CUUCCAGGAGGCAAGGGUAAAUUUUGGUGAAAAGAAGCAAAGCCUGAAUAGGGUUUUGGUGUAUGGAUGGGGCAUAGAGUGCUCAGAAUUUGAGGAAGGUGAAGGGCAGCCCAAGGUUUAUAAACUGAUUCUACACCAAAGGUACAAAACUGCUGUCAAGGAAAUCAGCUAGCAAGGAUUUAGGAAAACAUCUUAUUGUUGGGAUAUAGGCACAGAGUUAAGAACUGGUUGGGGUAAUACUAGACAGAUGAAAGAAUCACUUUCCAGCUGUUUGACCCAAAGACAAAUCACAUCGCCUCCCAAGGGAGGUGAAGUCACUUACCCAGAGGAACAACAUCCACUACGAUCGCCCUAAGAGAUACUGAGAAUAGUCUUGAGCAUGGCUAUCCAGGUGGUCAAGAAAGACAUCUGUAAGGGAGGUGAUAUUUAAGUUGAGACCCAAGAAGAGAAGGAGUAGCUGGCUGUAUGAAUAGCAUGUGCAAAGCCCUGCAGCAUGAAAGAGGUUGUGGUUGUAGAACAGAAACACUGCUGGGAUGAGGCAUCUCAGUAGCAAGCCGAGGAUAAGAGGGUCUUGAGAUGAGAGUGGGUACAGACCAGAUCAUGGAGAGAUUUACAAGUCACGGUUAAACAGUUUGGAUUUCAUUCCAAGUUUCUUAAAUGGCAUAUCGUCACAAGACCAGAAGAGACCUUUGGGACUCAUUCCAUCUGUCAGAAAAUAAUUUUCCAAGUUUAUUGUCAGAUGAAGAGUUAAAGAAUGCACCAAAAAAAGUGUUGUAAAAUCUCAAAAGAAUUUCUGGUCUUCUACGCAUAGCAGGUCAUAAAACCUCAUGGGAGAAAUGCCCUCCCUAUACCCAGAGGAAAGGAAUGUCUGCCUCACCGGGAACAGAGAGAAGCAGCAGAACAAACAGGCCUUGCUAAGUUCUCCCUAUUUUAUUACCAUUAAAUCAUACUGAUUUUUUCUCCAGUGAUAUUUCUCCAUUACAGUUUACCUCUUCAUCAAACCUAAGCAUAAAAAUACAUAAGUUUACCUGUUCCUUUGGGUCAUUUCCUUAUGAAGGCCCCCAUGUCAUAUAAAGCUUAUUAAAUACGUGUAUGUCUUUCUCCUGUUCAUCUGUCUUUGUCAGUUUUAUUUCCAGACCCAGCCAUGGACCCCAAAAUAGUUGAGGAAAAUCUUUUCUCCCCUACAGUUUCUGGCAACCAUGAAGAGACAGCUAAGACUACACUCAUUUCGGAGCAUGCAGAUAAA
rnacentral:lncRNA from 1 species